rnacentral:tmRNA from 1 species
GAGCUGGGGCGGAAUUCCAAUUAUCUUUCAUUCAAUAAAUCCCCACUUCACCAUAAAAAGGAUGCUUCGGAUUUUAAAAAAAGACUGUGCCUUAACAGGAGGAGAAGUAACCCUUGCCAACCAGACUAAAAUCUUUUAUGUCAUCAAGGCCCCAUCCUUGUGUUCCCUGGUUGGGUCCCCCAGCUCAGAUUCUGUGACCUCUCAGGAACUUUUCAAGACCUUCCCCUGCGAAACCCCACUGUCAAUGCCCCUGGUCAGCACAAGCAAUCCUCUAUUAUCUAUAGUCAGGCUCAUGGUAUCUCCCAAACCCUAUGACCUGACGGGUGUUUUGUGCUUUGGUGAAGAUCAUGAAACUCACUAUAUCCUUAGAAGAGUUGCAAAAAUCCUGACCAUGACUCAAGAAGAAUUGGAUACAAUUUGUGAUAUAGAACUACACUUUUCUUCGAACGAGACCCUUUCCAGCAACAGGGUUCCCAGCAGACUGACAGAAAGCAUUUUCCCUGGACUUGUUCCAACAGUACAUUUCCCCCAAAACAUGAUCCUCAGCAGGGGAUUCUUCACAGGGGGGAAUGGUCCAAUCAUAAAACAUGUUGCACAAACUCAUCACCUGACCAGUGACUUUGUUGCCAGGGUUUUUUAUGCUCUGAAAACCCCACAGGCUCAUGCUCCUGGAGCUGCCCAAUUAUACCGUGGUCUACAGAUUAUGAACCAUGCCCACAACGGACUAGACUUCUUUCCCAGCGAUUCUGACAUUAAUGACAUGCAGCAGAUGUUUUUGAAACAUGUGUUGCUUUCUAGAAAAGGAACUGAUAGUUGUGCCCAGAUGUUUUUUCAGGCCUACCUCCCAGUGGCUCCCGAGGUGCUAGGCCCAGAAGUCAUUGAGAGGGUUGAAUUGGCCCUGGCAAAAAUUGAACUUUUUGCCAACAACACAGUUUUCUGUAUGAGCACCAUUUCAACCAUCGUCAGACCUCGAAUACAAGUAACAACAUCUGCCAAUAUCAAGUACAUCAGGAUGGCAAACAAAUACUUCACCAUGUUUCCACCCAUUAAUAAGGACACCGCUGUUAUUUUUGGUGCUGCUGUGCUCGAUCAGAUAUGCAAGGAGACCCCAAUACGUGAAAUUGUACUUGUGCUGCGCAAAUAUGCGCAUGUUGUACGCCGCCCACACACCCCCACAAUUAAAUUGUACACUGUACUGACACUUUAAUGAAAAAUGUACUUUAUUAUCUGCAAUACCAGAAAACAGAGGAAGCAGAGCAGAGAAAUGACAGCAAAUAAAAUAAAGACACUCUGAA